CACGUAGUUAGCCGGGGCUUUCUCGUGAGGUACCGUCACCGCGCCGCCCUCUUCGAACGGCACUCCUUCGUCCCUCACAACAGAGCUUUACGACCCGAAGGCCUUCUUCGCUCACGCGGCGUCGCUCCGUCAGGCUUUCGCCCAUUGCGAAAGAUUCCCUACUGCUGCCUCCCGUAGGAGUCUGGGCCGUGUCUCAGUCCCAGUGUGGCCGGUCACCCUCUCAGGCCGGCUACGCAUCGUCGCCUUGGUGAGCCGUUACCUCACCAACUAGCUAAUGCGCCGCGGGCCCAUCCGCAAGUGACAGCCCAAAGGCCGCCUUUCAACCGAAGACCAUGCGGUCUUCGGUGUUAUCCGGUAUUAGCUCCGGUUUCCCGGAGUUAUCCCGGUCUUGCGGGCAGGUUGCCCACGUGUUACUCACCCGUCCGCCGCUGACCGAAUCAAGGCAAGCCCCAAUCCGGUCCGCUCGACUUGCAUGUAUUAGGCACGCCGCCAGCGUCGUCCUGAGCCAGGAUCAAACUCU
rnacentral:rRNA from 1 species